AUUUCGGGUGAUUACAGCGAAAAAGUAUUUUGUAAAAACGAUUGGAGACGACGAUUUCGGGGAAGACGAUAUCGGAGAAGACAAGACAGAGAGUUAGUUCGAUGAAGACGGAGUAAACACAAUGUCGAUGACGAUUUCAGGGAAGAGGCGGUUAGGGUUUCUUUAGUUCUUCGACGAAGUUUUGCUGUGUUGUUGUGUUUUUUUUUCAACGUUAUGUAAUUAAAGAAAUGAUUGAUUGUUCUCUAUUACUGAUGUGGAUACUUAAUUAGCGAUGUAGAUUUAAUGUUUAAAAAUAAUUUCAAUUAAAAAAACUAACCAAAAGCUCUUAUUGUCAUUUACU
rnacentral:lncRNA from 1 species